AGAGAGAGAUGUAUAUGUAUACACACUGCAGAAACUACUGAUUUUAAGGCUCAGAACAGAAUAAUCAGAGCAAAGGAGGCAAUGCAUCCGCCAUGGCUGCACUUCAAAUAGGCUUUCCAGGUUGCCCCGCCGAGAUACGGAUCCAGCUCCCUUGCCCCAUGAACCCUAGAGACCUUAAAUAUCACAGCCUCUAAUCCUUAAGGGGUCGUUUGGUUGGGAACAAGUUAUUGGAGAUUAGUUAUCACACCAUGUAUAUGGGAUAACUUAUUCCAUCACUAUGCAUAAAUGGUGGAUUAAAUAAUCCCAAGACUAAAUCAUGCAUUUUAUCCCAGGACUAUCAUGCCUUAUACCUUAUGCCUCAUACCUCAUGCCAAACGACUCCUAAGAGCAACAACAACAACAUCAACAACGGCAAAACCCUUCUCAGAAUAUAUCACCAGUCAUAAGAUUUUCCUGUAUAUAUGUAUAGAGAUAUGUAUGUGUAUAUGUAUACCCUUUUUUGGGGCAUUUUUAAGGCUCAGAUCAGUAUAAUCAGGGCAAGGGAAACAACCCAUCCGCCAUGGCUGCAGACCUCAGCUGCACUACAGCUCAAUCAGCUCAUAGUACCUUACAGGUCGCCCCGCCAAGAUACGGACCCAGCUCCCUUUCCCUUGUGAACUCUAGACAGCUUAAAUCAUCACAGCCUCUAAUCCGUAACAGCAACAACAAUAUCAACAACAACAGUGAAAACCCAUUUCAAGGAUUUCAACGCUGACCAUGGAUGAUGAUGAUGAAGAAGUUUCUAUAUACAUACUGCAGAAAGUUCCGAUUUUAAGGCUCAGAUUUACAAAAUGAGGGCAAAGGAGACAAUGCAACCGCCAUGGCUGCAGACCUCAGUUGCACUACAAACAUAGUACCUUCCAGGUUGCCCCGCCGAGAUACGGGCACAGCUCCCUUACCCCAUGAACUCCAUAUAUCAUCACAGCCUAUCAUCCGUAAAAGCAACAACAAUAUCAUCAUCAUCAUCAACAACAACAACAACAACAAAAACCCAUGUCAUGAAUUUCAAUGCCAGAAAAAGGAGAAGAAGAAGAAGCAACAACAAAAUGGUCAAAUCUUAAAACCUUACCCCUUCAUUCUUUUAUUGUGUGUGUAUGUAUACAUACUGCAAAAACUUCCGAUUCAAUGCAACAGCUUAACCAAACGACCCUUAAGAUAAAAUGGUGGUUUAUUUUUCACUUUAUUUUUUCACCCGAAAAUGGAAAUCAACGGUUAAACAGAGAGAGGGCAACCACCAUUAGAAGACACCCCAAUACCUCUCUGUUUGCCUCAUUUUCAAAAAUUCAUAGAUUAUAUAUAUAUAAAUAUAUAUAUAUAGAGAGAGAGAGAAAGAGAGAGAGAUGUAUAUGUAUACACACUGCAGAAACUACUGAUUUUAAGGCUCAGAACAGAAUAAUCAGAGCAAAGGAGGCAAUGCAUCCGCCAUGGCUGCUACCCAGUGUAUUCCCACAAAGUGGGGUCUGGGGAGGGUAAAGUGUACGCAGUCCAUAUCACUACCUCAGAUGAAGUAUAGAGGCUAUUUCCAAUAGACCCCGGCACAGGACAAAUAACUCUUGUCCUCGUCCAUAACAGCAGCAAACAAAACAACAACUAUAUCAACCACGUCAAAAAAAAACUUUUUCAAGGAUUCAUGCAUGUAUGUGUACCUGUAUACAUACUGCAUGCCCUAUUUUCAGCUCAAAUAUACAAAAUGAGGACAAAGGAGACAAUGCAUCCACCAUGGCUGCAGACCUCAGCUGCACUACAGCUCAAUCAAGUAUAAUCAGAAACUUCUGAUUUUAAGGCUCAGAUCAGUAUAAUCAUACAUCAAACAUUGCUGCAGAACCUCGGUUGCUCUACAAAUAAGGCCUUCCCGGUCGCCCCGCCAAGCUACGGGCAUAGCUCCGUUACCCCAUGAACUCUAGACACCACAAUCAUCACAGCCUCACAUUGUAACACCACCACCAACAACAACAACAACAACAUCAACGACAGCGAAACCCCAUUUCAAGGAUUUCAAUGCAAGCCAUAUAUGAUGAUGAUGAGUAAAGAGAAGAAGCAACAACUAAAGGAUCAAAUCUUAAGCCCUAAACCCUUAAUUUCUUUAUAUAUAUAUAUAUAUAGAUAGAUAGAUAGAGAGAGAGAGAGAGAGAGAGAGAGAGAGAGAGAGAGAUUAUUGUGUAUGUAUACAAACUGCAGAAACUUUUUCUAAUUUCAUCGAAAGUUUCAAUGCAACAGCGUAACCAAACAGACACUUAAGGCUCAGAUCAGUAUAAUCAGGACAAAGGAGACAAUGCAUCCGCCAUGGCUGCUGACCUCAGCUGCACUACAGCUCAUAUUACCUUCCAGGUCGCCCCACCAAGAUACGGACCCAACUCCCUUACCCCCACGAACUCUAGACAGCUUAAUCAUCACAGUGUAUCAUUUAUAAUAGCAACAACAUCAACAACAACGACAAUAUCAGCUUGGUAUGUGUGUAUGUAUGCAUACUGCAGAAACUUUUCGAUUUUCAGCGAAAUUUUCAAUGCAACAGCUUAACCAAACAGACCCUUCAGAUAAAAUCAGGCAAAAAGGAGACAAAGCAACCGCCAUGGCUGCAGACCUUCAGUUGCAAGACAAUGGAAGCUACCAUACCGGGUCGCCCCGCCAAGAUACGGGUCAGCUCCAAAUACCCGACCCGACCCGAACUCUAGACAGCUUAAUCAUCACAGCCUAUCAUUCGUAACAGCAACAACAACAACAAUAUCAGCUUAAUGUGUGUGUAUGUAUACAUACUGCAGAAACUUUUUCGAUUUUCAUCGAAAUUUAUCAUGCAACAGCUUCAACCAAACAGAGCCUUAAGAUAAAAUCAGGCAAACAAGGAGACAAAGCAAACCGCCAUGGCUGCAGGUCUUUCCGGGUCGCCCCGCCAAGAUACGGGUUAAGCUCCAAAUACCCGACCCAACCCGAACUCUAGACUGCUUAAUCAUCACAGCCUAUAUCAUUCGUAAAAGCAACAACAAUAUCAGCUUUGAGUGUGUAUAUAUAUGUGUGUGUAUGUAUACAUACUGCAGAAACUUUUCGAUUUUCAUCGAAAUUUUUCAUGCAACAGCUUAACCAGACCCUUAAGAUAAAAUCAGGCAAAGCAACCCGCCAUGGCUGCAGACCUUGCCGGGUCGACCCGCCAAGAUACGGGUUAAGCUCCAAAUACCCGACCCGAACUCUAAUAGUGUGUGCCUAUGACUCUCCGUUUUCAAUGCAACAUCUUAACCAAACAGACCCUUAAGAUAAAAUUGUGGAUUAUAUUUUUGGCGGGAAAAUGGAAAUAAUUGGCGAAAACAGAGAGGGCAACCACCAUUAAAAGACUCCCCAUUACCUCUGUUUCGCUCAAUUUUUAUUUUUCGUCUUAAGUUGAAGAAAAAUGAAAAUUGUUAAGGGGAUUUUAUACUAUUUUUUUUUGUUUUUUCAUUCCCAAUUAAUGUGAAUUCAGCCCAUUUAGCUAUUCCUCCCAACAGAGUUUUCUCCAUAGCUAGGAUCGAAUCAUCAAUCUUUGGUUAGCAGGAUUUUAUACUAUAGUUUCAUUGAUACAUUUUUUUAAAUAUGUUUUAAGAAAAUGAUCCUUUUUAUUUUAGUAACCCUUUCAUUCCAAUUUUUCAAAUUAAUAUUU
rnacentral:lncRNA from 1 species